rnacentral:rRNA from 1 species
GGAGGCGCCCGACAAAACAAUUAAACACUUUUGAUCCUUAGGAUUUUGUAUGUCAUUUUGAUUGAUACGACUGGUAAUGCGGUCGUCUAAUCUAAAAACAACUUUUGGCAACGGAUCUCUUGGUUCUCCCAUCGAUGAAGAACGCAGCGAAUUGCGAUAAGUAAUGUGAAUUGCAGAAGUGAAUCAUCGAAUCUUUGAACGCACCUUGCGCUCCCGGCAGAUCUAAUCUGGGGAGCAUGCCCGUCUGAGGGC